rnacentral:rRNA from 1 species
UUUCUCCCUUCUGACGAACCAUGAUGUCAUUUAUUUGGUGUUGUGGGGAAUCAGGACUGUUACUUUGAAAAAAUUAGAGUGUUUAAAGCAGGCUCACGCUUGAAUACAUUAGCAUGGAAUAAUGAAAUAGGACGUUUGAUUCUAUUUUGUUGGUUUCUAGGAUCGACGUAAUGAUUAAUAGGGAUAGUUGGGGGCAUUAGUAUUCAAUUGUCAGAGGUGAAAUUCUUGGAUUUAUUGAAGACUAACUACUGCGAAAGCAUUUGCCAAGGAUGUUUUCAUUAAUCAAUAACGAAAGUUAGGGGAUCGAAGACGAUCAGAUACCGUCGUAGUCUUAACCAUAAACUAUGCCGACUAGGGAUCGGAUGAUGUUAAUUUUUUAAUGACUCAUUCGGCGCCUUACG